ACCCGCUGAACUUAAGCAUAUCAAUAAGCGGAGGAAAAGAAACCAACAGGGAUUGCUCUAGUAACGGCGAGUGAAGCAGCAAUAGCUCAAAUUUGAAAUCUGGCGUCUUCGACGUCCGAGUUGUAAUUUGUAGAGGAUGCUUCUGAGUGGCCACCGACCUAAGUUCCUUGGAACAGGACGUCAUAGAGGGUGAGAAUCCCGUAUGCGGUCGGAAAGGCGCUCUAUACGUAGCUCCUUCGACGAGUCGAGUUGUUUGGGAAUGCAGCUCUAAAUGGGAGGUAAAUUUCUUCUAAAGCUAAUUAUUGGCCAGAGACCGAUAGCGCACAAGUAGAGUGAUCGAAAGAUGAAAAGCACUUUGGAAAGAGAGUUAAAAAGCACGUGAAAUUGUUAAAAGGGAAGGGAUUGCAACCAGACUUGCUCGCGGUGUUCCGCCGGUCUUCUGACCGGUCUACUCGCCGCGUUGCAGGCCAGCAUCGUCUGGUGCCGCUGGAUAAGACUUGAGGAAUGUAGCUCCCUCGGGAGUGUUAUAGCCUCUUGUGAUGCAGCGAGCGCCGGGCGAGGUCCGCGCUUCGGCUAGGAUGCUGGCGUAAUGGUCGUAAUCCGCCCGUCUUGAAACACGGACCAAGGAGUCUAACAUCUAUGCGAGUGUUCGGGUGUCAAACCCCUACGCGUAAUGAAAGUGAACGGAGGUGAGAACCGCAAGGUGCAUCAUCGACCGAUCCUGAUGUCUUCGGAUGGAUUUGAGUAAGAGCAUAGCUGUUGGGACCCGAAAGAUGGUGAACUAUGCCUGAAUAGGGUGAAGCCAGAGGAAACUCUGGUGGAGGCUCGCAGCGGUUCUGACGUGCAAAUCGAUCGUCAAAUUUGGGUAUAGGGGCGAAAGACUAAUCGAACCAUCUAGUAGCUGGUUCCUGCCGAAGUUUCCCU
rnacentral:rRNA from 1 species